rnacentral:rRNA from 1 species
AGUAACGCGUGAGGAACCUGCCUUUCAGAGGGGGACAACAGUUGGAAACGACUGCUAAUACCGCAUGACACAUGAAUGGGGCAUCCCAUUGAUGUCAAAGAUUUAUCGCUGAAAGAUGGCCUCGCGUCCCAUUAGCUAGUAGGCGGGGUAACGGCCCACCUAGGCGACGAUGGGUAGCCGGACUGAGAGGUUGACCGGCCACAUUGGGACUGAGAUACGGCCCAG